ensembl:lncRNA
ACAGCUGCAUUCUUCAGCAUCCCUGCUCGACACGUAGGGGUUGCUGCUAUUCCCAGUGCCCUGCCAGAUCAGUUUUGGUGGCUCAAAAUCAUGACGUUUGUGUGAUGGGCCUGGAAAAGAUGACACAGAACUGAGCAAAUGCCUUCUCUGGACUUCAGCUUCCCUCUUGAUACAAUGAGAAUGAAACUGCAAUUCACUUCACCAUCUCUGGAAAGGAAAACUGGGUGUAUAUGGAGGAUCCUCUUUCAUAGUAAAUAUACACUGUUCAGAAGGAGAUCAGCAGCUUUGUGGCCAAGUGUGAAGAUGACAGUGUUGAAAAUGAAGGAGAAUCUUAGGUCAUAAAUAAUUGCCUUGUGACCCAAACGACGGUUUGAACCAGUGGAAGAGAAUUCAGUAGUGGAAGAGCAGCUAUCUGUUCUCCUGGAAGCAUUCCAGAAGCACUAAAGUUGCCCAUAAAGUGAUGUUUUGAAGACUAGUCCAGCUGUUUCCAGUGCCUAUUUUUCAUUCCUUGGAGUGGACGGCCUCCUUUUUGAAUGUUGCUGCAUGGAGAGAGAAGAGAGUGAAGAGUUGGACCAGGAGGAUGGAAAGGAGAGGAAUGGAGUGGUGAAUGUUAAGUGGGGUUUCUGGAGCCAAAUGAAUGAUGGCAGGAGUUCACUAUUGUGGCAACAUCAAACAGUGACAAAUUAGAGAGCACUGAAUUCAAGAUUUUCUGCGCUGCCUUCACUUAUUCCCCCUAUGCUCUACUGCAUUCUGAUAACAGACUGGUAAUUUCAGCACCCAGCAAUAGCAGAUGGAAUCUAUUCAUCAUCCCAAUGACCCGGCACAUCAUAACCCACUCAUCAUCCAAUGACCCAGCACAUCUCUGUGUACCAGUCUGCAGUACCUCGGCGCUGCUGAGCUAUCAGGAGUAAACGAAGAAAACAGCUUGAGUGGCCUCCUGAUGCCAGCCAGAGCUUCCUUGUUCUUUUCCCCUUGGAAGCCCAUGGGUGACCUCCACAGACUGCAUUGAGCCACAUCUCAAGUGUGCCGGAGCUAACAUGCCACAGAAGGCUGUGACUCGUCGGGGCUGGGACCAUUCACUGUCACUAUCACAAGUGGAGAAACUUUUCUGUCAGGUGCCUGCGCAGUGUCUGAGACCCAGCCUGGCUUUUACAGCCCUAGAAGGAAGUGCUGAGUGCAUUGCUUUCUAAUCUUGCCCAGGGAGGUUUUCAGAGGAGAGGCUGUGCUGUAGGAAUCAGUGUAGGAUACAGAUGGAUCCAGCCAGCUUGCACUUGUUUGAGUCCACGAGGAGCAGUCGUGGGCCAGGCACUCGGGGAAAGUUCCCUUUGUCCCAUGGGAGAAGCACGUGGGCUUGGAAAGAUCCUUGAACCUGCGGAGGGGAGGAAUUUCUCCUUGGGCCUCAGAUGUCCCCCAGGGUGGUGCGGGGAGGAGCCCGAUGCUCCCAGCAUUGUCCGAGGCAGCAGCUGGUGGUGCUGUGUGACAAGGUUCUGCUGGCGCUGAGGUGCAGUGCUCAAGUGUGCUAGCAGGGGCAAUGACCCCUGGGGGAGUGGAACAGGUCAGGUUAUGGCUGCGGAGUCUGUCUUCUGUACAGAGGCAGUGAGCCCAUCCCAAGCUCCUUACCGCUCAUCCCAUCCUCUGGGGGAUGGAGAACUGCUUUUUUCCUUCCCCCUGUAGCGCCAGGAGAGCAAUCAGAACCUCUGAGCUAUGGAACAUCCUCCUUUCCCUCCUCCUCCUCUAGGAGGCCUGUUUUAACCUUUUGUCCCAUGCAGCAGCAAUGUCCAUAUGGCCCUUCACCUGCUAGGGCAAUGUUCCUUGUGGUCUCUCAGCCCAUGUGCUGAAUGCCACUCCUAUCCCAUUCCACCCUCCCUUUGGGUUUUGAGAUGCGAUUGAUCCGUUCUGCAAGUUCACACUGUGCUAACUCAGCACUCCCUGCAGUAUGUCCAACACUGUCCUGCUAAAAAAAAAGAAGUCACUUCUGGUAUUCAAGGGUCCUCAACCAAUGUCAUUUUUGUCCAUUGGGUUGGGAGAAAUUUACUGGGGGACAAUCGUGUCAUCUGAUCUUUGGCAAAAUGCUUCUCUUUGAAACCUUGACUCUUGGUUACGGGUAAUGCAGAUGAGAGUGCUGUGUCCAAUCUCCUCCAAGGAGAGCAGCGUGCUGAAGGGGAAUUAAAGGGCCAUGGGAAUUCUCAGCAUAAUUUUAUUAUGGUGACCUUUAAGGAGACGGUGGGGGGAUGGGUGAAGAACACAGAGAAGACACUGAGAACAGACCACACAGACAGCGCUUAAGGGGGGGAAAGCAAACCCAAAGCAAGUUAGGAAGGGAGACAGGAGAGGAGAGAGAUGGAGCAGAGACUGAAUGAGGCUGGCAAGGAAUGGCGGAGCCACCUCCUUCCAGUUUAUCCAGGGAGUGACAGGAGUAGAUUUGGGGCUCUCCAUCCAUGAAAAACACCCUUCUGUGCAUCGUUCUCCAUUUUCCUGAAAUCUCUGCUUUUCUUCCUCCAGGCAACCAUUAAUCUAAUAUUAAGCCCCUUAACCUCUCUAAUUGUUCCCUUUCAGUGUCAGCUGGUUUCCUAUUAACCUUUCAAUCUCUCCGUAAUGCAGUUACUUCUGAUUCCAGCCAGCCCUGGCUCUAAAGCUUUACCUCCGGCAGUGAAUUUUCCAAGCUUUCCCUUUUUUUUUUUCUCUUUCUUUUCUGUAAUGAUUAUAACUGCUGUUAAGGAGCCAGUUUGAACCAGCCUCUAAAUGCACAGGGCUGAACCACUUGGAGUCUAUAAAUAGCCCUUUGCUAACCUUGGGCCUUAUUUCGUUAAGUUGAUUGGCCUCUCUCUCUCCACUCCGUUGCAUCUCCCUCUCUCUCCUCUCUCCAUUAUUGAUGCUGGUUCUUUUGUUGCUAUCUGACACACCUUCUUGUUGAUAACAGGGUUGGUCAGUGCUAAGUUUUUCCCUCCUGAACAAAAUAGUAUCGUUGCUGGGGAAGUGUCCCUAGAAUUUUUUUAACAAGGAAAGCAGAGAGUGAGACAGGCCUGAAGCAGCAGGUCUGAAAACAACCGUGCCGUGCAAUAGGAAAUUGCCUAGCUGAGCACCAGUCACAGUUUGCUCCCUGUAGGCUGGAUUUCUCCUGUGACAUACAAUGUGAUCACACUCAAAUGCAGUCUCCUGGGCAUAUCCCAUUGUGCAGUACUGAAGCCAAGAUGUCUGUCUGCCCACAGACAAAUCAGGAGUUGCUGGCCUAAAGUUGAAACGGAGAUCUCGGAAUGCUAAGUAAACUGCCUGCUUCUCAGAGCGAUCCCCUCGAAGCUUGGAUGUCAUUAAUCAGUAUACUACUGCCGCUUGUCCCUGCAACAGGGCAGAAUAUGGUUUGCUUCACUGCCCAUCAGAUGCAGCUCUCUGGUAUGUUUGUGCUGUCUCUUCUAACCCCACCUGCUUCUUCAGUGCUGAUGCUGAGCUCUCUUGAACCCUGGUAGCUCUCCUCAGUGCCUGCAAACAGCUUAUUUUUUUGUAAAAUGCAAUGGCUGCUUGCAGUGAAGUUUGAUUUGGAGCAGUUGCGUGAGAUGACCUGGAGUAUAUUGUCAUGCCCCUGUUUUGCUGUGUGUCCAGAGGCAAGGUCUUUCCCUGCAGAGCUGCAUUUUCCCCGAUGAAAGAAGAGAGAGGCGCAGGAAACUUUUGUGGUUUGUGCCUUGGUUGAUAUUCACAGUCUUUUGCUUCAGCUCAGGAGGAUUUGUGUGUCUGAAAGCUCUUCUGUUUUCCCUAGCUGUAUCAUUUGUCUAAUACCAGCUGUUACCUUUCCCUGAGAGUCCUGCCUCAAGGUCAACAGCGGCUUACCAAAAUAAUAGGAGCCAUUCUCUUCUACUCUCCGUGCAGCCCUGUGCGUCUCUGCUUGCCCACUCACUGCUAUUUCUUGCAGCAACCCUUUGUCUUAUUUUCUGGCAAAUGUUCUUGAUCCAUGC